GAUGAACGCUGGCGGCGUGCCUAAUACAUGCAAGUCGAGCGAACAGACGAGGAGCUUGCUCCUCUGACGUUAGCGGCGGACGGGUGAGUAACACGUGGAUAACCUACCUAUAAGACUGGGAUAACUUCGGGAAACCGGAGCUAAUACCGGAUAAUAUAUUGAACCGCAUGGUUCGAUAGUGAAAGACGGUUUUGCUGUCACUUAUAGAUGGAUCCGCGCCGCAUUAGCUAGUUGGUAAGGUAACGGCUUACCAAGGCAACGAUGCGUAGCCGACCUGAGAGGGUGAUCGGCCACACUGGAACUGAGACACGGUCCAGACUCCUACGGGAGGCAGCAGUAGGGAAUCUUCCGCAAUGGGCGAAAGCCUGACGGAGCAACGCCGCGUGAGCGAUGAAGGUCUUCGGAUCGUAAAACUCUGUUAUUAGGGAAGAACAAAUGUGUAAGUAACUAUGCACGUCUUGACGGUACCUAAUCAGAAAGCCACGGCUAACUACGUG
rnacentral:rRNA from 1 species